rnacentral:lncRNA from 12 species
AGGGAAAAGGGAGUGAGGGAAAGGGAUGAGCGAAGGGGCGAGACCUCGGCGCUUUGCCCUCUGCAUUGGGAUGUACAGCGCAGGAAAGGGGAGAACCAGCCCCGCUCGGGAACACUGGGAGAGGAGGGCUCAGGCAAGCAGAAGAAAAAGAAGAUCCUAUUUGAAGCAUUUUUAAAAGUUCUGCUCUGGCAAAGGCCGUCUGAAGGGGAGGCCCUUGCAGCAGGAAUGCGAGCAGCAGCCGCCUUGCCAGAGUCCAGCCUCCUUCUUGUGAGCGACUGGAGCAGUCUGGCGGAGGAGGAGAAGAAGGAGGAGGAGGAGGAGGAGGAGGAGGACGUGAGCCAGCGAAACGCAGCGGGCUGGAGCUGAUGAUGAAAGCGGCACGGCCCUGCGCGGACAGGCUCCUUUCCAUCCCCCGCAGCCACGGGCACACGGACACGCACCGAGCCCGGCCCCGCUGCGACCCCGGCGGGUACCCCGCGGGCCGAGGGCUGCGAUGGGGACGGCGCCGCUCGGAGGGGACUGGCAGAGAGGCAGCGAUGGGAGGAAAGGCGCUGCGCUGGAAUCUCUUUAAGAAUGUUACACAAGAGACGUCGGUAUCCCAGCUGGAUAACUCGUAAGAUGAAAAGGCAGAAGCACCUCUGAUUAAGCUGAACAUUAUGUUAGAGCUUCCAGAAGACAACAAUAGGAACCAGGCCAGGCGAGGGUUUGAUCAAAGUCUUUGAUGCAGGGAGCUCAGCACCACAGUCAAAUCCCAUACAGGGUAAAUGAGCUGGAAUCAGCACGAGAUCACCCAUCACCAGGAACUUUGAGAAGAGGACCAGGAAUGGCCAAAAAUCCAAAAAUCAAGGUCCUAGAGUCCCACAAUACAUGAAGCAUACAAGGGGAGGGCUGACAGGGGCUUCCAUUCUCAGAUACUUUGUGCAAAAUAUCUAUUUUUUGGAUCCAUAACAAUAUGUUCACCUUUGUAGUUUCUAGCAGCAUGAAUUAAUGCAAGACGUGCAGCAAGCUGGGAUCUCAUCACACUCAGCCUGCACUGGCCCUUCUUCACCCACCACUGCAGUUCCUGCUCCUGGGGUUUCUGAUCUUUUCUCGUUCUAGUAGUAGGAGUCAGAAACUUACUGCAGAUUCCAACACAGCCAAGAGCAAAGAAGGAAUUUCCAAAAUUUCCAAACUGUAUGUCUGCACUCUGAUGGGUGGCAUUCCUGCUGCAGGUGGGUGAACAACUGGCACUUGGGGUAACUCUCACCUGUCCAGAUCUGUGCCUGAAACAACCAAAGCUAAUAAUACAUUUUCCUGUGACUGCUGUUCCCUGAAAUCUGAUAUGAUAGUACUGGGCUUUUUAUUACAUAUCAGGAAUCAGGGAGAGGAAGUUGAGUCACAAAGCCUUGACAACAGGUUUAGAAAAGGUUGUGUCCAGGACAAAGCAAAAAUGUACAGCAGGUAUUUAAAAUAAAGUUGUAUGUUCAUCAGAUCUUCACACCAAUUCCAAGGAAACACUCUGCUUUUUGGCACAAAAAAUAUGCAGGAAUAAUAUAUGCAUCAGGAAAAAAAACGGUAACAAAAUCUCUAGACACAAAAGGAGCAGGUGGGCAAGAGUACUGAGCAAAGCUUUGUUUCAGGCUGAGGCAAAGGGGUACCUUUUCCAAAAAGGACUGGACUGAAACAACCAGAACAAAGAAUAUAUUUAGACAUUAAGAUUUAAAAAUGGAUUGGGAGCAUAAGGCCUGAACCAGUGGCAUAAGGACAAUUUAUUGACAUACAUUAGAAGCAGGAAGACUGCACAACAAUUGUCUGGCAAGUCUGAAAUAGUACUGAGAAACAAAGAGACUGAAGAAAGAGGACAAAAAACACCACAGAAAAAAUAAUGGCUGAUUAUGACCUUGAGCUAUUCAGUUAUGCAAAAGAGGAACCCUGCCUUUUCUCACCCUCUAUGACCAUACUAACAUUUCUUGUUAGCUGGGUUCCUAAUCUGGGAUAUUAAUAAAAAAAUACCCACUAUUUCUUCCAGUGGAAAGCCCUAAUCUUUUCUUUUUCAGUUCUCUUUCACUUUCACACCAGCCAACAGCAUUCUCCCUUCAAGAUGGGAAGCAAAAACAACACUCAGGAAAGUGAAGAAAUGAGACGUCUCUUCUCUUGAACAGGCCAACAGAGGAAACAUGAUUCUACAACACAAAAUCCUUGCAUUGUCCCUCUUUUGAGGGGAUGGAGCAAUCUUGACCCUACUUCAUAUUCUAAGACACAUUUCUCUAUCUCCUGAUGCCCAGAAAUCCAGACAGACCAAAAGGUACCUUUUAGGCUAAAAAGAAGUUUUU